ACGCUCGACACCUACGGGAGGUAGCAGUGGGGAAUAUUGGGCAAUGGGCGCAAGCCUGACCCAGCAACGCCGCGUGAAGGAAGAAGGCUUUCGGGUUGUAAACUUCUUUUCUCAGGGACGAAGGAAGUGACGGUACCUGAGGAACAAGCCACGGCUAACUACGUGCCAGCAGCCGAGGUAAUCUGAGCGGGCUGGCAAGGC
rnacentral:rRNA from 1 species